UAGUGUUUUCAUAAAAACUUAGUUGAUUGACACAACUGUUUGGACCGUUUACACUUUCUAAAGUGGGAGGAUUUUUCUGCAUGGAGUACUUUUACUGAUGAUACUUAGAAACUUUUACUUAAGUAACUUUUUCAGUGCAGGACUUUUACUUGUAAACAAGUGUUUUUACAGUGUGGUAUUAGUUCUUUUACUAAAGUAAAGGAUCUGAAUACUUCUUCCCCCACUGCUCAGAAUUGACUGAGACUGAGUUUCACUCUAUACUCUGAGACUUCCGUCACAGGAAACAGAUCUAGUGGUAUC